GGGGAAUAUUGGACAAUGGAGGAAACUCUGAUCCAGCAAUUCUGUGUGCACGAUGAAGGUUUUCGGAUCGUAAAGUGCUUUCAGUAGGGAAGAAGAAAGUGACGGUACCUACAGAAGAAGCGACGGCUAAAUACGUGCCAGCAGCCGCGGUAAUACGUAUGUCGCAAGCGUUAUCCGGAAUUAUUGGGCGUAAAGGGCAUCUAGGCGGUCAAUCAAGUCGAAGGUGAAAACUUGUGGCUCAACCAUAAGCUUGCCUACGAAACUGAUUAACUAGAGUACUGGAGAGGUGGACGGAACUACACGAGUAGAGGUGAAAUUCGUAGAUAUGUGUAGGAAUGCCGAUGAUGAAGAUAGUUCACUGGACAGAAACUGACGCUGAAGUGCGAAAGCUAGGGGAGCAAAC
rnacentral:rRNA from 1 species